rnacentral:rRNA from 1 species
UAGGGAAUCUUCGGCAAUGGGGGGAACCCUGACCGAGCAACGCCGCGUGAGUGAAGAAGGUUUUCGGAUCGUAAAGCUCUGUUGUUAAGGAAGAACGAGUGUGAGAAUGGAAAGUUCAUACUGUGACGGUACUUAACCAGAAAGGGACGGCUAACUACGUGCCAGCAGCCGCGGUAAUACGUAGGUCCCGAGCGUUGUCCGGAUUUAUUGGGCGUAAAGCGAGCGCAGGCGGUUAGAUAAGUCUGAAGUUAAAGGCAGUGGCUCAACCAUUGAAGGCUUUGGAAACUGUUUAACUUGAGUGCAGAAGGGGGGAGUGGAAUUCCAUGUGUAGCGGUGAAAUGCGUAGAUAUAUGGAGGAACACCGGUGGCGAAAGCGGCUCUCUGGUCUGUAACUGACGCUGAGGCUCGAAAGCGUGGGGAGCGAACAGG